AUUGAACGCUGGCGGCAUGCUUUACACAUGCAAGUCGAACGGUAACAGGCCGCAAGGUGCUGACGAGUGGCGAACGGGUGAGUAAUGCAUCGGAACGUGCCCAGUCGUGGGGGAUAACUACUCGAAAGAGUAGCUAAUACCGCAUACGAUCUAUGGAUGAAAGCGGGGGACCGUAAGGCCUCGCGCGAUUGGAGCGGCCGAUGUCAGAUUAGGUAGUUGGUGGGGUAAAGGCUCACCAAGCCAACGAUCUGUAGCUGGUCUGAGAGGACGACCAGCCACACUGGGACUGAGACACGGCCCAGACUCCUACGGGAGGCAGCAGUGGGGAAUUUUGGACAAUGGGCGCAAGCCUGAUCCAGCAAUGCCGCGUGCAGGAAGAAGGCCUUCGGGUUGUAAAAUGCUUUUGUACGGAACGAAACGGCUCUGGUUAAUACCCGGGGCUAAUGACGGUACCGAAAGAAUAAGCACCGGCUAACUACGUG
rnacentral:rRNA from 1 species